rnacentral:rRNA from 1 species
CACGUAGGGGGCAAGCGUUGUCCGGAUUCAUUGGGCGUAAAGAGCUCGUAGGCGGUUCGAUAAGUCGGGUGUGAAACCUCCAGGCUCAACCUGGAGACGCCACCCGAUACUGUCGUGACUAGAGUCCAGUAGGGGAGCGUGGAAUUCCUGGUGUAGCGGUGAAAUGCGCAGAUAUCAGGAGGAACACCGGUGGCGAAGGCGGGUCUCUGGCCCGAUACUGACGCUGAGGUGCGAAAGCGUGGGGAGCAAACAGG